GCGCCCACCUCUCCAAGAGUUCGGGAUUACGGGACACUUGAUCCAGGCUGGUAGAGGUGCUGGAAGAGCAAGGAAGCCCUGGCUCCUGCAGAAGAAUGGGCAGCUGUCUACUGCCAAUGGCUUAGCUGAGGAAGAAGAGUUCAGCCCCCAGGAGGGAGCCCUCAAUGGCCAGCAGGAAGAAGUCACUGUCACAGAUGACACACAGAGGCUUAGCCGGCAGCUGCAACACACGCCCUGUCCUUGAUGACUCUUAGGGGUGGAGAUCAAAGGAAAACUAUCUGCUGAGAAGUCAACAACUUGCCACCUGAUCUCUUGCUCAGAAGAACACCAGAUGAGAUGUGUUCCCGUCUUUACCAGUGUCUUUAAAGUGCAU
rnacentral:lncRNA from 1 species